AUGGGCCACUUGCACGCUCCGGUUGUGAGCCGUCCGCAUCUGCCUGACGACUGCCCGCCGGGUGUUGCUGGCU
rnacentral:sRNA from 1 species